rnacentral:tRNA from 1 species
GGUUCGGUGGCGUAGUUGGUUAUCGCAUCUGUCUAACAUGAAAAUCAGUGGUUCCACAGAAGGUCCCCAGUUCGAGCCUGGGUCGAGUCA